rnacentral:rRNA from 1 species
UUCCUACGGGAGGCAGCAGUGGGGAAUAUUGGGCAAUGGGCGCAAGCCUGACCCAGCAACGCCGCGUGAAGGAAGAAGGCUUUCGGGUUGUAAACUUCUUUUCUGAGGGACGAAGAAAGUGACGGUACCUCAGGAAUAAGCCACGGCUAACUACGUGCCAGCAGCCGCGGUAAUACGUAGGUGGCAAGCGUUAUCCGGAUUUACUGGGUGUAAAGGGAGCGUAGACGGCGGCGCAAGUCCGGAGUGAAAGCCCACGGCCCAACCGUGGGACUGCUCUGGAAACUGUGCGGCUUGAGUGCGGGAGG